rnacentral:rRNA from 1 species
UUGGAGGGCAAGUCUGGUGCCAGCAGCCGCGGUAAUUCCAGCUCCAAUAGCGUAUAUUAAAGUUGUUGCAGUUAAAAAGCUCGUAGUUGAAUUUCGAGAUCAAAUUGUUGGUCGUGCCUUGGUACGUACUGGCAUUAUUGAUUUCUCCCUUCUGAAGAACCACGAUGUCAUUAAUUUGGUGUCAUGGGGAAUCAGGACUGUUACUUUGAAAAAAUUAGAGUGUUCAAAGCAGGCUUACGCUUGAAUACAUUAGCAUGGAAUAAUGAAAUAGGACGUUUGAUUCUAUUUUGUUGGUUUCUAGGAUCGACGUAAUGAUUAAUAGGGAUAGUUGGGGGCAUUAGUAUUCAAUUGUCAGAGGUGAAAUUCUUGGAUUUAUUGAAGACUAACUACUGCGAAAGCAUUUGCCAAGGAUGUUUUCAUUAAUCAAGAACGAAAGUUAGGGGAUCGAAGACGAUCAGAUACCGUCGUAGUCUUAACCAUAAACUAUGCCGACUAGGGAUCGGAUGAUGUUAAUUUUUUAAUGACUCAUUCGGCGCCUUACGGGAAAC